rnacentral:rRNA from 1 species
AACGAACGCUGGCGGCAUGCCUAACACAUGCAAGUCGAACGAGAUCUUCGGGUCUAGUGGCGCACGGGUGCGUAACGCGUGGGAAUCUGCCCUUUGGUUCGGAAUAACAGUUGGAAACGACUGCUAAUACCGGAUGAUGACGAAAGUCCAAAGAUUUAUCGCCAGAGGAUGAGCCCGCGUAGGAUUAGCGAGUUGGUGUGGUAAAGGCGAGCCAAGGCGACGAUCCUUAGCUGGUCUGAGAGGAUGAUCAGCCACACUGGGACUGAGACACGGCCCAGACUCCUACGGGAGGCAGCAGUGGGGAAUAUUGGACAAUGGGCGAAAGCCUGAUCCAGCAAUGCCGCGUGAGUGAUGAAGGCCUUAGGGUUGUAAAGCUCUUUUACCCGGGAUGAUAAUGACAGUACCGGGAGAAUAAGCUCCGGCUAACUCCGUGCCAGCCGCCGCCGUAA